CCCUCCCCUUUUCAUUUUUUGGUGCGACAUCUUCAACAGCCGCUGAAGAAGACCGAGCAAACCCUCCCUGCAGCUCAUUCAAGAUUUUCCUCCAUCCGUAUCUUCUGUCCAGCCAGCUGGGUCAAAGACCCGAGCAGUCUUCUCCGCAAACAUCGACACCAGCUGCAUCUCCAUUUGCCGCACGUCCUUCACCCCUCAGCUCCACGAUCGUCUGCUCCACUAUCCAUCUUCACGCUGCCUCUCACGCCAGCUCACGGUCAACACCAGCAACAAGCGGAGCCUUCGGUUGACUGAGCAUCAUUUCCUUGCUGCCACUUGGCCGCUUCUGUCUUUCUUCGGUCAGCAAGCGGAAUUGAAGACCGCCGAAGGAAGCCGCACGAUUCCACCGAGUUCUGCCGUCCACCGAAAGCCACGCCGGUCAGCUUCUCUCUCCCUCGUGCAGACGCCAGCUCAGCCAUUGUAACUUCACGAGCAGCAGUUCGGCCAGCGAAGUCUCUCCGUGUGAAGUCGCAUACCUGUUUCCUCACUUGCGGUCCAUCCUCAGCCUUUGGGCCCAGCAAAGCCCACGGAUCCAGCAAAUUUUGUGGCUCAACAGGGGCCUUUGCUGCUUAUUCGUAUGGCCCAAGUCUUCAGCAGCAGGCCCAUCCAGUUCAGCUUAUUCAAUUGAAUUGAAGCCCAAAUUUUCCAGCACUUGAAGCCCAAAUCAGUGAGGUCCAGCAGCCCGCUUUGCAAGCCCAGUCCAAGAGCAAGCCCAUUCCAGUGCAAGAACAAAUCUCAAUUGGGCUGAGAUUUGUUGGGCCAAGUCCAAGGCCCGGUCCAAGUUCGCCGGUGUCGUCGAAAGUCCUAUUUCGGCCGCCGUCGCGUCGCCGUUGCGGUGAUUCGGUCCCCGCUUUUGAUCAAGUGAGUUUUACUCACUAAAGCUUUAUUAGUUUGCUAAUUAUGUCUUAGGGUUGGUUAGAUUUAAUUACAUGCACUUAGGUGGUUAGAUUAGGUUAGAACAAUUAAAUUAGUGACUUGAGGAUGCAUGUUAGGUGGUUAGACCUAGCUAUUAGCAAGUAGAAAUGUUUGGUUAUUUAUUGAAUGUAUCUCGGGAUUUUUCUCGACCCGUUUCGGGCUCCAAUAAGGCAAUAUAGGCCUAAAUUGGAUUUUUAAUGUUUAUUUAUUUAUUUUCGAAAUUUAUUUAUUUAAUUAAUUAUUUUUCCGGAAAUUCAACCGGGAUGGCCGGUGACCGGAAUUUCGUGCUGAUUGUCGUGGUGCAGUCCGUUUAUUUAUUUGAGCUCUACGUUGUGUGAAAUUGAAUUUAUUGUGGAAUUUUAGGAAUUGUCCUAAAUUGUUUGUUAUUGAAUAUUUGAUUGGUAAUGGCCAAGCAUGGGUAUAUAGCACCAGUACGUUGAUGGGCUAUAUAGUAGGGAGAAUGGUGAAACCAAUCAGGUACGAUGUUAUUGGACAUACGUGGUUCGGUGAUUGGAAGUAUCACUGGCGAAAACGGCGCCUUAAAGAACGCACGUAAAUGACUUAUAGACACACGUGGUUCGGUGGUUAUGGGAAUAUCACUGGUGAAAACGGCGCCUUAAAGAACGCACGAUGUUGUCUAUAGCCGAUGUCACCUUGGCGAAAACGGCGCCCUUGAAAGGACACGUGGUUCGGUGAUCAAGGUUAUCACUGGUGAAAACGGCGCCUUAAAGAACGCACGGUGUCGGUGAUCGGUAUGUCAUUGGCGAAAACGACGCCCGAGAAACAUAUGUGAUUUGGUGAAUGAGUACACCACUGGGAAUUCGUGGUACGAGUGGGAAUGACCUAGAAAGGGUCUGGCUGACAUGUAAUCGACUUAGUCGAUUGAUCAAUGCUUGAUCGGAUGUCGUGAAUUGUUUGAAUAUCUAUGUUUAACCUUGAAUCGCAGGUUGGAACUGAGGCCAAGGUAAGUCCUCUGACUCGUGUUGUGCUUAAGCAACCGGAUGGCGUAUUAGUUUAUUAAUCGAGUCUUAGUGGGUAGGACUCGCUGAGACGUGGUCUCAUUGGUUAUUGAAUAACCAUUUCAGGACCCUGAGGAGAAGCUAAGGAAGGGGAACCUGAAGGGGAGAAAGACUUUUGAAGAAGAAGAUGAUCUAGAGAGGGAUCUUAAAUGUAACCCGGAUGUGGAUUGAGAUCCCAUCCCUUUUUGUGAACCCUGUCUUGGUAUAGAUAGGUGUGAGACUUUUAUGCUGUAAAUAGUAUUGUAAAUAUACUAUGAGUGGUAAUGUUAAUGAAAG
rnacentral:lncRNA from 1 species